AUUGAACGCUGGCGGCAGGCCUAACACAUGCAAGUCGAACGAGUGGCGGACGGGUGAGUAAUGUCUGGGAAACUGCCUGAUGGAGGGGGAUAACUACUGGAAACGGUAGCUAAUACCGCAUACCAUCGGAUGUGCCCAGAUGGGAUUAGCUUGUAGGUGGGGUAACGGCUCACCUAGGCGACGAUCCCUAGCUGGUCUGAGAGGAUGACCAGCAACACUGGAACUGAGACACGGUCCAGACUCCUACGGGAGGCAGCAGUGGGGAAUAUUGCACAAUGGGCGCAAGCCUGAUGCAGCCAUGCCGCGUGUAUGAAGAAGGCCUUCGGGUUGUAAAGUACUUUCAGCGGGGAGGCGUUACCCGCAGAAGAAGCACCGGCUAACUCCGUGCCAGCAGCCGCGGUAAUAC
rnacentral:rRNA from 1 species